AACUAUAACGGUCCUAAGGUAGCGAAAUUCCUUGUCGGGUAAGUUCCGACCCGCACGAAAGGCGUAAUGAUUUGGGCACUGUCUCGACAAUGCACCCGGUGAAAUUGAAAUACCAGUGAAGAUGCUGGUUACCUGCGCCAGGACGGAAAGACCCCAUGGAGCUUUACUCUAGCUUGAUACUGGGAUUCGGUAUUGCAUGUACAGGAUAGGUGGGAGACUAAGAGGUGAUGACGCCAGUUGUCACGGAGUCGAUGUUGGGAUACCACCCCUGCAGUACUGGGUUUCUAACCUGCGGCCGUGACCCGGCCGGGGGACAAUGUCUGGUGGGGAGUUUGACUGGGGCGGUCGCCUCCGAAAGGGUAUCGGAGGCGCUCAAAGGUUCCCUCAGAAUGGUCGGAAACCAUUCGAAGAGUGCAAAGGCAGAAGGGAGCUUGACUGCGACACCGACGGGUGGAGCAGGUACGAAAGUAGGACUUAGUGAUCCGGUGGUAUGAAAGUGGGAUUGCCAUCGCUCAACGGAUAAAAGCUACCCUGGGGAUAACAGGCUUAUCACUCCCAAGAGUUCACAUCGACGGAGUGGUUUGGCACCUCGAUGUCGGCUCAUCGCAUCCUGGGGCUGUAGUAGGUCCCAAGGGUUGGGCUGUUCGCCCAUUAAAGCGGUACGCGAGCUGGGUUCAGAACGUCGUGAGACAGUUCGGUCCCUAUCCGGCGUGGGCGUAGGAUAUCUGAGAGGAGCUGUCCUUAGUACGAGAGGACCGGGAUGGACUGACCUCUGGUGUACCGGUUGAACCGCCAGGUUCACGGCCGGGUAGCCAAGUCGGGAAGGGAUAAACGCUGAAGGCAUCUAAGCGUGAAGCCCCCCUCAAGAUGAGAUAUCCCAUUCGAAAGAAGUAAGACCCCUUGAAGACGACGAGGUAGAUAGGGCAGAGGUGGAAGUGCCGUAAGGCAUGGAGCUGACUGUUACUAAUCGGUCGAGGGCUUGACCUA
rnacentral:rRNA from 1 species